CUUGGGGCUGUGGCAGUGCCUUCUAGAUCAUUCACAGAGGCACGGCUUAACCCAGGGCACUCGGGCCCAGAUUCCUGCGAGAAUCCAUAAGAAGCGCAGAAGUUGACAUGACACGUUGCGAAGUAGAUUUCCUCUAAAAGUGUUUUUUCUCUGAGGUAAUGACAGAUGUGAGUGUUGCUAUGGUGACAGGCUGUCUGGAAGCACACAGCACAGUGGUUCAGGCGGCUUGCCUACGACGUAUGGGCGUAGCAGGGGGAUCUCGUCUUCAAGGCUUGCGUAGGCUGCUUCCAAAUCGUCUCUGUUCUGAGCAGGUGGCAAGGACUGUCUGUAGCUUUUGAGCAGGACAGUUGAAGUAGGAGAUAAUGAGUGUGUCGGGGACGAUCAUCCUCUUCCAUGCAGCGCGCAGCUUCGGGAGGGAUGCACAGGGAGGGUGAGGGAGGAGGGGGACACCCGCCUAGCCGGCCAGAUCAGCCGUGGAGAGCAGUGGGGUGACAGAUGUCGCAGCCAGGAGGCCCCGCGUCCUGUUCCAGAGAAGCACCCCCAGUCUCUUCAUCUGCUGGGUCCUGGCCUGCGAAUGCUUCACCUCGAGCAGGCACAGCCCAGAAGGCAGCCACUCUCUCCAGAAUCCAGAGCCCGCCCUGCGCUGCUUCUCCCACUUGGAUCUCCCGAUCACAGAUCCACUGAUGGAGGUUGGAGAUGCUCUCUGAAGACAGCCCCGCUCCAGUGACAUCAUUUCCUGCCUAGGAUUCAGGACUUUUUUUGCUGGAAUUAUGAGAAACACACGACACCCGUAAGGGGCUGCCUGGUUCCUCUCCCGCGACAGUGUCCAGCAGGGACGGGGAAGGAGAGGAGAUCACCAUCUGUGGGUGCCUAUCGGGCAUGGACGGCCUUAGGUACCCACACACCAGCUAACGAUUGGCUUUGGCCUCAGAUCUGGGCUGUCUCCUUGCACUAAAGUCGCAGACUCGACAGUUGGCUUAUAGGAUGGCCCGUCAACUGUGUAUAAUCCCACAGAUGUGGACCCAGCAGCACCACCCAGCUAUGGCAUGUCGCUGAACGCACAACUCAACUUGGACAGAGUCAGUUUGGAUGACAGCUGUGUGAAAGGUCACGUAGUAGUUUGCACGGGGGCAGUGGGCAAAUUCUCACAGUCGAGGGGCUGGGCUUGCCGUGCAGGCUCAGACAACAAAUCGCAAAUCCCUCUCUCUGGGGCAGACUCACAUUAACCACGCUCAUUGGAAUUGAUGUCUAUGUUGGAUGGCAGCUUAUUAAACUACAACGAGAACUCCAUCUGGUGAAGGGUCUAGAGAGCUGAGCCCUCUGCUUAACCUAUUCUGUGUGGGGAAAUCUACCUGGCAAACUUCUUAAUCCAACGGUUGCCUGGCGACUGUGAGAUCAGAGCAGAGUCGAAUGCUUAGUGACAUUAGACUCCUACGCAUUUCUUCCCAAGAUGUGUUAUACGAGGCACUUGCCAUUGAGACCUGGAGAAUGCAAACCCAUUCCUCAGACAUACCUGCUUCUCUUCUGGCUCCCUGUUGUCCUGGGUUUCCGUGGCUAAAAGCUUCUCUGUCUAAGGAAUUGUUUCCUUUAGUUACGAGACUCAUUUGACAGGCUGUCUUGACUUUCCCCCUAUUUCACCUACAUCCAUGGCUGUUCUGAUCUCCAGGCUAAUGUGUGCUCUGUAAAGUUGCCUGAGCUUCUCAGCACACUGGGACACAUGACUGGGGUUUCACUGAGGUUAUGUCUGCCCAUUGCUAGUCCUUAGUUUUGGGGGGAUUGGUCCUUAGUUCCUCUUUCCUGCCCUCUCCUGUUGUCACUGCUCAGCCUGUAGGAAGGCCUACAAAGGGCUUUGGUGGGAAAUGCUGCCAUCUUGCCCCUGGGCAUGGCCGUGACACCGGCGUGAGAAGGUAUAAAGGCAAAGGUUUGCUUAAAGAGGUUGCUCCUCUUUAAGAUGAAAGUGCAAAAUUUAAAAUAUAGUAUGAGGCACAAAAAAAUACCCUCUUAUUUUUUUAAAACU